CACGUCCACUGGGGCUUCAGCUGUAAACAUUCACCCCUAGACAAUGCCGUGGAGUCUGAGCUCCACAGCCUGCCCGUCGGUGUGCUCCCCUAGAGGUUUCAGCAGCAGCUGGGUAUUGAAGAAGCAAGCCACACCCCCACCGCAAGCCCUGGGAGGGAGACAAAGGAACAUUUCCUGUUUCAGUACUACGUUGAAUAGGGGUGGUGAGAGUGGACAUCCUUGGUUUGUUCUGGUUCUCAGGGGGAAUGCUUCCAGCUUUUGCCUAUUCAGUAUGAUGUUGGCUGUAGGACUGUCAUAGACGGCUCUCAUUAGUUUGAGGGUCUCGCAAUGUCACCCAGGGUUGAUCUCGAACUCCUGAGCUCAAGCUAUCCUCCCACCUCAGCCUCCCAAAGUGCUGGGAUUACACAGGUGAGCCACUGAGCCUGGCCCAUAUGUUUGUAUUUUGUUUAUAUACAAUGAACUUUUAAUGCUUAGAAAUAUUUGUUGACAUAAUGGUAAUAAUAACCUAACACAAGAUGAAUACAUCUUAGGAUAAAAAGUGCUGCAAGUUCUAUUUUCAGUAUUUGACCAUACAAUAACUCAAUGUGCUACAAGCUGUGCUUGAGUUUUGUUUUUUAAAUGACAAAAAUAAAGAAAAAUUUAGGAGACUUAAAAUUCUAAUUCAAUGUCAGUUCUUAAAAAUGGAUACCAUCUUUAAAGUGAAUAACACAGCACACACACUUUCAGAAAAUGUUCUAUUUAAAAAGCAACAAAAUGCUACAUUUUCACUAAUUCUUUGUAAUCCUUUAUAUAGCUCUCUCAUUGUGAUAAACUGUCAUAGGAUUCAGUAGUAUGACCUUCCCAGCCACAGAAAGCAGAUAACUAUAUACACAAACACAUACUGAGACAUAUGCCUUUACUAUUACAGUUUUCUCAUCUUUCUUCUUGCUGAGAAAAAAUACUAGAAUUUUCUUAAAUCAAUUUGAGAAAUGAAGGGUCAUGGAUAAAUCUCAUUGGCUACAUAGUGUCAUGUGGAAUAUAAUAUAGUCUCGGUAAAUAUUUGGCAUUUGUUGGAGAGAUAAAGGGGUAACAGGAUGGAUAAACAGGAAACAGGAGUUGCUAUUAUGACUAAAGGGAACUACAAAAAAACAAAGAUGGAAGGAAGGCAGAGAGGGGGGAGAGGAAGAGAGGGAAGAAGAAAGAGAGAGCAAGGGAGAAAUCUCUGACUGAAGUACUGUUGGAUUUGGUAAGGAAAUCCACAAAUGCCCUCAGGAAUUUAGGCAAACAUUUACUAAACUCAAGGCUGAGAAGACCCAAUAUAAGAAAAAGGCAAAAUAAAAAAACUCACAAAUGUUAAAAAUAAAGUUUAGAGGUUUAGUUAAAAAAGAUAACUGCAAAAGAAUAUAAACAAGUUCCCUAGUAUGUAAGGACCCAGACUGAGACACUGUGAUGAACAUGUCAAUGAGAAGCUUGAUCUUAACGGGGGAGGGGGAGAGAAACAUAAGGAGUUUGUAUGACAGAGUGAUCAACAGCAAAGGUCUGUACUCAGAUUAUUUUAGUUCAUAUCCUUAUUUUGCCACUGUCUAGGCAAGCUGAUUAACUUUGCUCGGCCUCAGUUUCCUCAAUCGUAAAAGAGAUAAUAGUUUCUAUAUCUUGAUACUGCUGUGAGAAUUUAAAAAAUAAUAAUGCAUGCUAAAGUCCUUAAUUAGGUGUUAGCACAUACUUACCAUUUACUGAAUCCUGCAACUACAGUAGAUGCUAACUGCUGCCACUUCUACUACUACCGCUACUCAAGCAAGUGUGCUAAUUGCCAAUUUACAAGCUGAGAAUAAACCAUAAGAAAAAUUACUGUUGCUCUGUUUGAUUUCAAAUAAAUUAGAUUCUUAAGAAACAUUUAUUUGGAGCCUAUGUACAAGCAUCACUGCUAAGUUAUUAUUAAAUUGCAAAUAAAACAGAAGUAAUUCCUGCCCUCAAAGAGCUUUCAGCAGAGUACGGGAGCCCAGACCAUAAACAAAAAUGCAACCAAACACAUAAUCUAAUUGGAACACAUACUAAGGGAACAAAAUGAGUGUAUACUGGCAGAAAAGUGUCCUUUAGAUAUAAUGCAAACAGCUUCUCAAAGAAAGUGGCAUUUAAGCUGAAAUUUGAAAGAUGAAAACAAGCCAACUUGCCAAGAACAAGUAGGCGAACAGUUCAGAUAAGAGGUAGGAAUACGGGCAAAUACCAUAGGCGGGAAGAAACUGCUGCGCUUGGGGAACUGAACAAAACAAAUGUGUAGACCACAGAGAAGAAAGGAAGAAUGGCAGGAGAUGAGGUUACAAAUAUAUGCAGAGACCAAUUCAUGUAGGGCUUUUUAAGCAAUAUUAAGUUUACAUUUAAGUGACACUGGCAAGUCCUAUAACUAUUAAGCCAGAAAGUGAAAAGAUUUUAUUUUCAUGUCACAAGUCUGGAAGAAAAAAAACAAUGGAUUUGGACAAAGGAUCGAAAAGAGUACAAGUGUGAAGGCAGAAAGCUCAGUUAGGACUAUUACAACAGUCAACAAUGGUGCUACUCAAACUAUGUGUGGUUGAGUUUUUGUUUUAAAUUCCAAUUCAAAGCCAACUGAAUAAAAUAUAAUAGCAAUGAAUUUCUAGAAAGAUGGUUAUGUACUCAGAUGCUAUGACACUAUUUUACCCUCAAUUUCUAUGUCUAUUUUGUUGGCACCAGAAAUAAAAAGGUGCCACCGGAAAUAAAAAGGUUGACACCAGGCAACCGACCACACUGAGACCCACUGGUCUAGAGAGAUGAUGAUGGUUUCUACUUGAGUUGUGGUAGUGGAGAUAAAGAAAAAUAGAUAAAUUUGGAAUACAGAAAAGGCACAUCUGACAGAACCCACCAACAGAAAAGGAGUAAGGAAAUGUGAUGAAUAAAGAAUAACUUCCAAGUUUUUGAUUUAAGAAACAAAGUUGAUUGUGGUGUCACUCUAUGAAAAAGCAGAAGACUAUAGAGUAAGAGACCUUGGGGAAAAUAGCAGGGAAAAAUUUAUCUUAAUUAGUUUUAAAAUGCCUACGGCAAAUCCAAAUGUUACACAGACAGUUAAUAUAAGAUACCAGAGGUUUGAAUUGGAGAUAACAAAUUUGGAAAUCAUCAGCACAUAGAUUUAAAACUAUGGGAUAAGAGGAGAAGUACUCCUUCCCUAAUAAUACUCUUAUAAUUUCUUAUGCCUGUCUUUACUUUAAUCUCUUAAUCCCAUUAUCUUCGUAAACUGAGAAUGUAUGUCACCUCAGGACCACUAUUGUACAAAUUGAUUGUAAAACAUGUGUGUUUGAACAAUAUGAAAUCAGUGCACCUUGAAAAAGAAGAGAAUAACAACGAUUUUCAGGGAACAAGGGAAGAUAACCAUAAGGUCUGCCUGCCUGUGGGGUCAGGCAGAAUACAGCCAUAUUUUUCUUCUUGCAGAGAGCCUAAAAAUGGGCAUGCAAGUAAGAGAGAUAUCGCUGAAUUCUUUUCCCAGCAAGGAAUACCCCGGGGAAGGAAUGCAUUUCUGGGGGGAGGUCUAUAAAGGGCUGCUCUGGGAGUGUCUGUCUUAUGUGGUUGAGAUAAGGACUGAAAUACGCCCUGGACUCCUGCAGUACCCUCAAGCUUACUAUGAUUGGGAAAUUCCAGCCUGGUAAAUUUUGGUCAGAUUGGUUCUCUGCUCUCGAACCCUGUUUUCUGUUAAGAUGUUUGUCAUGACAAUAUGUGCAGAGAGGGACAUAGACCCUCAUCAGUAAUUCUAAUCUUGCCUUUGCCUUGUGAUCUUUAUUGCCCUUUGAAGCAUGUGAUCUUUGUGACCUACUCCCUGUUCGUAUACCCCUUUUAAAAUCCCUAAUAAAAACCCCUCCCUUUUUAAAAUCCCUAAUAAAAACUUGCUGGCUUUGUGGCUCAGGGGACAUCACAGACCUACCAAUAUGUGAUGUUACCCCUGGAGGCCCAGCUGUAAAAUUCCUCUCUUUGUACUCUUUUUAUUUCUCAGACAGGCUGACACUUAGGGAAAAUAAAAAGAACCUAUUUAAAU
rnacentral:lncRNA from 10 species